CUGUAAACCGCACGACUCUUC
rnacentral:miRNA from 1 species